UACGUAGGGUGCGAGCGUUAAUCGGAAUUACUGGGCGUAAAGCGCGCGUAGGCGGUUUUGUAAGCCAGGGGUGAAAUCCCCGGGCUUAACCUGGGAAUGGCAUUUGGGACUGCAAGGCUUGAGUGCGGCAGAGGAGACUGGAAUUCCUGGUGUAGCAGUGAAAUGCGUAGAUAUUAGGAGGAACACCGAUGGCGAAGGCAGGUCUCUGGGCUGACACUGACGCUCAUGCACGAAAGCGUGGGGAGCAAACAGG
rnacentral:rRNA from 1 species